rnacentral:rRNA from 1 species
AUGAUGGGUUGCUCUCGCUUCGCAACCCGUCUGGUGAUGAAGUCUGGAGUCCCCAGGCUCCCAGUGCGGCCUAUGCCAGAAUGCUCGACACAGGCAACUUCAGGCUUGUCGGUGCAGAUGGCAAACCAAAGUGGGAGACCUUUGAUGUCCCGGCUGAUACCAUCCUGCCCACACAAGUGCUUCCCGUGGGUCAGCAGGACAAGGUACUUAGAAGCCGUCUCAUCCCCAUGGACUACGCCAAUGGCCGGUUUCUCCUAG